GUUCUUUAGCAAGAGACCGGAGCUCGGGUAACCAGUAGGCAACAUACUCUCCAUCAGGAUCAUAUGUUUUAGCCUGCAGAAGAAUGUUCACUCAUGGUCAGAUAUUGACAUCUUAAGCUUAUGUAGUUGUGAGUUGAUGCAUAUAGCCACAUAAUUUAAUUUCUUCUUGCAAUGGUCACUUUCUAGUACCCAUCCUUGCUGGUAGUCUAGUGUCUAGAUUGAUUAUCUUUAAAUUGUUCAGUCGGUAAGAAAAGUAUUUGAAUAUUGGUUAAUAUUCUUUUGUUUUGGUGCUUACUUGCUUAGGUAUGCUGAAGUAUCGGUCUUCUCUUGGAUCAUUGCCAAUUCCUGUCAAGAUUACAGCAGUAGCAGGUCAGUCAGUCAGAGCCUGGCAUCUGUUUGCUUCUUCCACUUUAUAGUCAUCUGUUUGCUUUGAUUAUUCGAUGCUUACAAGAAUAAGUAACUGAAUAUUAGGAAACGCUAACCUGCUCCAUAUGUCCAGUUACCAUAAUUUGAAGCUGGAUCAUAAUCCAAUAGGCAUGUUUCGAACCAUUCAGCUCCCAUUCGCCAAUCAAUACCCAUAUCCCGGACCAGAAAUGAGCAGACAAUCUGUAUAAAAUCAACAAGAGGGAUGCCUUGGAUCAGGUGGCCUUCGGUCUCAUACCCUUGUGCAGUCAUUCUGCUAAUGUGAUAACAUGUCAAUGCUUACCUGACGGCCACGGUUGGACAUGAAACCAGUUGCUAAAAGCUCCUUCAUGUUGGCAUCAAUAAGAGGGUACCUGAAAUUCACCAUGACAAAUUCAGAAGUUUUAUAUGAUGAAUAAUGAGUUAAUAUGUGAAAAAAAUUAGAACAACUGGGAGUACACCAUACCCAGUUCGACCCUCUCUCCAAGAUUCAAACAAUGCCUGAUCCUGGCUCCAUUUGGACACUAUAUUCCUUGGACCACCUACAGUAUUUUUGAAAGGAUUAUACCUUACCAGACAAAUGCAACUGUUGUAUGUUUAUUUAGCUGAAAUAGCUUAAUCUUUUCAGGAUAAAUAAGAAAAUUAAAAUUCAGAAUGAUACUUCUUUUCAUGGUAUAAUAUCUAAGGAUAUGCGAGAGGGCUACAUCUUUACCUAGCUGAAAAAUGGAGUUCCCAUAUUUUGCUGAUAUGAAUCGGAAAUAAUCUCUCCAUAUCAACUCAAACAAAACCCUGUAAGUAUUGGCAUAUCAGGAUAUAUUUCAGUUUCACUUUUGACUUGUAAGAAAACUCGGAGCCCAAAAUUGCAAUAAUUGACAAGAAAAACACUCAUUAGCAAGAGUUACAAUAUAAACAUCUCUAGAAGUGAUAAGGGCACACUUACCAAUAUGUAGAAUCAUUUGCUACUCUCUGCUUCUCAUAUCUCUUUACCUGCACCGUGACCAUUAAUACAGCAUGAGGCAAAAGCUACUGAUCUCUUCACAGAAGCAUGACU
rnacentral:lncRNA from 1 species